GAUUAAGUUAUUAAGGGCGCACGGUGGAUGCCUUGGCACUAGAAGCCGAUGAAGGACGUUACUAACGACGAUAUGCUUUGGGGAGCUGUAAGUAAGCUUUGAUCCAGAGAUUUCCGAAUGGGGAAACCCAGCAUGAGUUAUGUCAUGUUAUCGAUAUGUGAAUACAUAGCAUAUCAGAAGGCAUACCCGGAGAACUGAAACAUCUUAGUACCCGGAGGAAGAGAAAGAAAAUUCGAUUCCCUUAGUAGCGGCGAGCGAAACGGGAAGAGCCCAAACCAACAAGCUUGCUUGUUGGGGUUGUAGGACACUCUAUACGGAGUUACAAAGGACGACAUUAGACGAAUCAUCUGGAAAGAUGAAUCAAAGAAGGUAAUAAUCCUGUAGUCGAAAAUGUUGUCUCUCUUGAGUGGAUCCUGAGUACGACGGAGCACGUGAAAUU
rnacentral:rRNA from 1 species